GCCUAUUAAUGCUGGUCUGUACUAAGAUUGGACUAAACGGUCGAUUCUCAGAAGAGAUGAAAACCCUGGAGCUCAGCUGAUGCGUGCUUCUGAACAGCUGACCCUGAGGCCUUCGUCCACCUCUUGACCAGGACCCCCUCAUCAGGCCUUACCCCCUCCAUCCAGGAAUUUGAGAAGGAUUUAAACACCAUGAAGAAAAAGAGUUUGCUGUGAAAUUUGUGGAGGGAAGAGCAAUAAAAAGUCAAGAUCUCCCAGCGGGACAGGACGAGUGCGCUGCUAUUUCCCGAAAGGCGCUCAGGAAGGGCCCUGCCUCCGGGUGGGGAGGAGAGGCGGGCAGCCUGGACUUAACCAGAGCCUGCCAGUUGCUCGUGUUUAUUGAGGGCCAUCUGCUCUCAGGGCCCUCAAUCUUGUACUAGGUCUAUUUGGAAAAGGAUUUAAAGGGCAAAGAAAAUAAUAUCUUCAUCUACUA